UACAGAGGUGGCAAGCGUUGUUCGGAAUUACUGGGCGUAAAGCGCGCGUAGGUGGUUUGUUAAGUUGGAUGUGAAAUCCCCGGGCUCAACCUGGGAACUGCAUCCAAAACUGGCAAGCUAGAGUAUGGUAGAGGGUGGUGGAAUUUCCUGUGUAGCGGUGAAAUGCGUAGAUAUAGGAAGGAACACCAGUGGCGAAGGCGACCACCUGGACUGAUACUGACACUGAGGUGCGAAAGCGUGGGGAGCAAACAGG
rnacentral:rRNA from 1 species